UGCAAGGGCCAGGAAACGAACGGGUAAGAUCAACUCUGACCCCUCUCACCCUGGCCACGAACACUUUGAAUCACUUUCCUCUGGAAGGGGACUCCGGACUGUCAACGAUGCCACAGCCAAACAUAAUAACAGCUUUUUACACGAGUAGUAGCUCUACUCAAUGACCAACAAUAUGUAGCUUCCUUUUGCUCCCGUAUUUUGUUGGCUCACA